GGAACUGUCAAGCUAGAGUGCAGGAGAGGAAGGUAGAAUUCCCGGUGUAGCGGUGAAAUGCGUAGAGAUCGGGAGGAAUACCAGUGGCGAAGGCGGCUUUCUGGACUGACACUGACACUGAGGUGCGAAAGCGUGGGUAGCAAACAGGAUUAGAUACCCUGGUAGUCCACGCCGUAAACGAUGUCGACCAGCCGUUGGGUGCCUAGCGCACUUUGUGGCGAAGUUAACGCGAUAAGUCGACCGCCUGGGGAGUACGGCCGCAAGGUUAAAACUCAAAUGAAUUGACGGGGGCCCGCACAAGCGGUGGAGCAUGUGGUUUAAUUCGAUGCAACGCGAAGAACCUUACCUACUCUUGACAUCCUGCGAACUUGUGAGAGAUCACUUGGUGCCUUCGGGAACGCAGAGACAGGUGCUGCAUGGCUGUCGUCAGCUCGUGUUGUGAAAUGUUGGGUUAAGUCCCGUAACGAGCGCAACCCUUGUCCUUAUUUGCCAGCGCGUAAUGGCGGGAACUCUAAGGAGACUGCCGGUGACAAACCGGAGGAAGGUGGGGACGACGUCAAGUCAUCAUGGCCCUUACGAGUAGGGCUACACACGUGCUACAAUGGCCGGUACAAAGGGUUGCGAGCUCGCGAGAGUCAGCUAAUCCCGAAAAGCCGGUCUCAGUCCGGAUCGGAGUCUGCAACUCGACUCCGUGAAGUCGGAAU
rnacentral:rRNA from 1 species